ensembl:lncRNA
CUGACAGCCAGGUUAAGUUCCAGGUGCAUGAGGGUGCACAAGGAGCUGAGAGGGGACAGAGCACAUACAGCUGACCCAAACUGAUACUGAAAGGAUGCCCCAUACCAUAUGCCAUGCUCCGCAAUGAAACUGGGGGAGUUGGAGUUGACCCAGGAGGCUGUUAUUGCUUGGGGACUGGCUGGGCAUCAGUCAGCUGGUGGGGGAUUGAGCAAACAGCUAUGUGGUGCUGAGCUGCCUGCUGGGCUAAAUCACAGUCUGUGGAAAGUGGUGCUAGAUGAACAGGAGUCAAAACUGCUUGUGACUGUGAGGGAAGUCAUCCUUCUGAGUCAACCUCCUGUGUUGAGUGGUGCUGAGCAGGAAGCAUUCAACGCUUGUUUCUGAUGACAGUAGCACAGAUGAGAAAACAGCG